rnacentral:misc_RNA from 1 species
UCUCCGUAGGUGAACCUGCGGAGGGAUCAUUACUGAGUGAGGGCUCCGGCCCGACCUCCAACCCCAUGUGAACCGAAACCUGUUGCUUCGGGGGCGACCCUGCCGUUCGGCGCGGCGCCCCCGGAGGCUCAUCAAACACUGCGUCAAUUUGUGUCGGAGUACUUGUUAAUAAACAAAACUUUCAACAACGGAUCUCUUGGUUCUGGCAUCGAUGAAGAACGCAGC